UCUUGUCAGACCUUGUAGCUUUAACGAACAUCUCUUUACUUACUUUGAAGUCGUAUUUGGCAACCCUUCUUUUUUGGUUAUUCCAAUACAAUGAUAUCAUGUCUUAAUCCCCUCACUUGUUGGUUCAUACCAAUUUUACUCUUGGGUUCAUCUUUUCACCCCUUGUUGGAGUUCAAACAACAAAAUUCUUUGGUUCAGACCAUACCUUUAUC
rnacentral:lncRNA from 1 species